rnacentral:rRNA from 1 species
CAGGCUUAACACAUGCAAGUCGAGGGGCAGCAUGGUCUUAGCUUGCUAAGGCCGAUGGCGACCGGCGCACGGGUGAGUAACACGUAUCCAACCUGCCGUCUACUCUUGGACAGCCUUCUGAAAGGAAGAUUAAUACAAGAUGGCAUCAUGAGUCCGCAUGUUCACAUGAUUAAAGGUAUUCCGGUAGACGAUGGGGAUGCGUUCCAUUAGAUAGUAGGCGGGGUAACGGCCCACCUAGUCUUCGAUGGAUAGGGGUUCUGAGAGGAAGGCCCCCCACAUUGGAACUGAGACACGGUCCAAACUCCUACGGGAGGCAGCAGUGAGGAAUAUUGGUCAAUGGGCGAGAGCCUGAACCAGCCAAGUAGCGUGAAGGAUGACUGCCCUAUGGGUUGUAAACUUCUUUUAUAAAGGAAUAAAGUCGGGUAUGGAUACCCGUUUGCAUGUACUUUAUGAAUAAGGAUCGGCUAACUCCGUGCCAGCAGCCGCGGUAAUACGGAGGAUCCGAGCGUUAUCCGGAUUUAUUGGGUUUAAAGGGAGCGUAGAUGGAUGUUUAAGUCAGUUGUGAAAGUUUGCGGCUCAACCGUAAAAUUGCAGUUGAUACUGGAUAUCUUGAGUGCAGUUGAGGCAGGCGGAAUUCGUGGUGUAGCGGUGAAAUGCUUAGAUAUCACGAAGAACUCCGAUUGCGAAGGCAGCCUGCUAAGCUGCAACUGACAUUGAGGCUCGAAAGUGUGGGUAUCAAACAGGAUUAGAUACCCUGGUAGUCCACACGGUAAACGAUGAAUACUCGCUGUUUGCGAUAUACUGCAAGCGGCCAAGCGAAAGCGUUAAGUAUUCCACCUGGGGAGUACGCCGGCAACGGUGAAACUCAAAGGAAUUGACGGGGGCCCGCACAAGCGGAGGAACAUGUGGUUUAAUUCGAUGAUACGCGAGGAACCUUACCCGGGCUUAAAUUGCAGAUGAAUUACGGUGAAAGCCGUAAGCCGCAAGGCAUCUGUGAAGGUGCUGCAUGGUUGUCGUCAGCUCGUGCCGUGAGGUGUCGGCUUAAGUGCCAUAACGAGCGCAACCCUUGUUGUCAGUUACUAACAGGUUCCGCUGAGGACUCUGACAAGACUGCCAUCGUAAGAUGUGAGGAAGGUGGGGAUGACGUCAAAUCAGCACGGCCCUUACGUCCGGGGCUACACGCGUGUUACAAUGGGGGGUACAGAGGGUCGCUACCACGCGAGUGGAUGCCAAUCCCCAAAACCUCUCUCAGUUCGGACUGGAGUCUGCAACCCGACUCCACGAAGCUGGAUUCGCUAGUAAUCGCGCAUCAGCCACGGCGCGGUGAAUACGUUCCCGGGCCUUGUACACACCGCCCGUCAAGCCAUGGGAGCCGGGGGUACCUGAAGUGCGUAACCGCGAGGAGCGCCCUAGGGUAAAACUGGUGACUGGGGCUAAGUCG